rnacentral:misc_RNA from 1 species
AACCUAGCACACCUGCGGUGUGUACCUGCGGAAGGAUCAUUACAUGAUUUAACAGGGAGUGGAGGCUUCGGCCAAAGCUCUGUCUGAACCCAUGUCUUUUGCGUACUUCUUGUUUCCUCGGUGGGCUUGCCCGCCGAUAGGACAACCUUAAACUCUUUGCAAUUGCAAUCAGCGUCUGAAAAACUAUAAUAGUUACAACUUUUAGCAACGGAUCU